GGGACUACCGGGGUUUCUAAUCCUGUUUGCUCCCCACGCUUUCGUGCAUGAGCGUCAGUGUUGGCCCAGGAGGCUGCCUUCGCCAUCGGUAUUCCUCCACAUCUCUACGCAUUUCACUGCUACACGUGGAAUUCUACCUCCCUCUGCCACACUCUAGCCUGCCAGUCACCAAUGCAGUUCCCAGGUUAAGCCCGGGGAUUUCACAUCGGUCUUAACAGACCGCCUGCGCACGCUUUACGCCCAGUAAUUCCGAUUAACGCUCGCACCCUACGUAUUACCGCGGCUGCUGGCAC
rnacentral:misc_RNA from 1 species